AAAACCUUCAACAACGGAUCUCUUGGCUCUGGCAUCGAUGAAGAACGCAGCGAAAUGCGAAAAGUAAUGUGAAUUGCAGAAUUCAGUGAACCAUCGAAUCUUUGAACGCACAUUGCGCCCGCUGGUACUCCGGCGGGCACGCCUGUCCGAGCGUCAUUU
rnacentral:rRNA from 1 species